rnacentral:rRNA from 1 species
UUAGUUUUUUAAUUGAAAGCUAGAAUGAAAGGUUAAACAAAAAGCUAACUGUCUCUAAAUUAGAUCUUGAAUUUAACAUUUAAGUGAAAAGGCUUAAAUAUUUUAGGGGGACGAUAAGACCCUAUAAAUCUUUAUAUUUAAAUUUAUAAAACAAAAUAUUAAUGUGCCUUUUGUUUAAUAAAUUUAAAUAUUUUGUUGGGGCGACAAAAGUAUAAAAUGUAACUGCUUUAAAAUAAUAGUUAAUUGUAUUUAGUUAUGUGAUCCUUUAAUAAAGAUAUUAGUUUAAGUUACUUUAGGGAUAACAGCGUAAUUUUUUUUAAGAGUUCGUAUCGAAGAAAAAGUUUGCGACCUCGAUGUUGAAUUAAAGAUCCUUUGCGGCGCAGAAGUUGCAAAAGGAGGUCUGUUCGACCUUUAAAUCUUUACA